rnacentral:rRNA from 1 species
UACGGAGGGUGCGAGCGUUGUCCGGAAUCAUUGGGCGUAAAGGGCGCGUAGGUGGCGCGGCAAGCGUGCGGUGAAAGCUCGGGGCUCAACCCCGAGUCGGCCGUGCGAACUGCUGUGCUUGAGCACUGUAGAGGCAGGCGGAAUUCCGGGUGUAGCGGUGGAACGCGUAGAGAUCCGGAAGAACACCGGUGGCGAAGGCGGCCUGCUGGGCAGUGGCUGACACUGAGGCGCGACAGCGUGGGGAGCAAACAGG